rfam:Triticum aestivum genome assembly, contig: Triticum_aestivum_CS42_TGACv1_scaffold_547638_6DS
CAACUACUCUGUCUGUCCCAAAUUUCUUGUCUUAGAUUUGUCUAGAUACGGAUGUAUCUAAUACUAAAAUGUGACUUGAUACAUCCGUAUCUAGAACAAUCUAAGACAAGAAUUUUGGGACGGAGGGAGUACUUU